rnacentral:rRNA from 1 species
CCCUUAGAUGUCCGGGGCCGCACGCGCGCUACAAUGGAUGAAUCAACGCGUCGUCCCGGCCCGAAAGGGUUGGGGAACCGCUGAACCUCAUCCGUGGUUGGGAUUGGGGUUUGUAAUUAUUCCCCAUGAACUAGGAAUUCCCAGUAAGCGCGAGUCAUAAGCUCGCGUUGAUUACGUCCCUGCCCUUUGUACACACCGCCCGUCGCUACUACCGAUUGGAUGGUUUAGUGAGAUCCUCGGAUUGGUCACGGCACGGUGGCAACACUGCGUCGGUGUGCCGAGAAGACGAUCAAACUUGAUCAUCUAGAGGAAGUAAAAGUCGUAACA